UAUUAACCUUUGCGGCCUUCUCUCGUCACAGGUUCAGGUCUGGUUUGUGAAUCUCAUUGCAGAUGAGGACGUCCUGAAAUCAACCAAGAUCGACAUUAAAGUUGUUGGGGAAAUUGUUGCUCAGUCAGGGGCGACCAUUACCAGCUUUGAAAAUUUCUUUGCCAAGCAUGAGCACCACGAGAAGACCAUAAUUGACAUCGGUACCCUGAUAUGCAAAACCCGUACUUCAAGGUUUGUGCCCAGGCUGCCCUUUGUAUUUCAGUCACAGCUCAUGCUUAUGAGUACAGGUGUACCGCAUCAAACUCUUUGCUUGGUCUGAUAGCAACCAUAUUGUGUUCCAUCAGGAGGAUUCCAAUGGCAUCAUUGGAGGUGAGGUGUCUAAUGUAAACCACUGAAGACUACACGCUCCUUUUGUUCUAUUUGCAGAGUUCACCUUCCGUAAGUUUAAGCCGUGCAAGGAGGUCAUUGACAAGAUAAACCCAGAUGCCAAAAAGAAGGCUGUGGAAGCUGCAGAUGACAUCUUUGGUUUCUAAUAUCCAGACUGUGUCAAUUGAGCCAAGAUGUCCCCUACUUCAAGCUAAAACACCUUUCUAAAUAAUAAUCAAGUCAUAGCCCCUCGUGACCUAGAUGCUUUGGAUUCCUAGUACUUUUGUCAAUGUAGCAAAUUUUUGCCUUCCACUGGAACAUUGAAAGGUGAUGAUAAGUUUAUCUAUCUAUCUAUAUACUGUUUAUAGUCUUGUGGUGCCCAUCAAGAAGCAUAAGUAUUCUUUGUGAUAUAUUAAUAAAACGAAACAGGACAGUUUGCCAUGUGAAGAUCAUUAUCAUUGUCUCGUUGGUCUUUGUAGAUUCGUUGCACUCAAGGUUACCACAAGUGAGCCAGGGACACCCUCAAUCAGCUCUAAGCCGAGUUGAUGGCUUAGUCGUGCGGCUGUGAGUGCCAUUUGGCUCUCCAUCUUGCUGGAUUUUCCCAUCCUGUCGCUUUGAUGCAAACGACCCCAGGAACACUGUCGCAAUAAUAUUGUAGAGCAACAAGGUGUCUCAGACAAGGGAAUAUCUAAUUGGAUUUUGACAAGGAACAGAACUUCGAAAAUAGAACUUUAGAGAAUGCUACUUGGAACAAGGCAAAGGGAGGCCCACAAAACCGUCGAGCUUUUCCUCCUCCUGUAACUCACGAACUUUGUCACGAGCACAUUGUAAGUUUUCUUUUGCAAAUGCUUACGUACUGACCAGUAGGCGUGACAUCUCCUGCUAUAGGGUCGAGUUUUUAGGAUCCUAGAAAUCUAGGACAAGACGAUCAAGAUACAGUUGUAAAUGUUUUAAAUUAAUAAGCUAAAUGCGCGAAUCUCUCCAAAACAGCAACUUCACUUUGGUCUUUUCUUAGUUUCUUGUCCAGCUGAGAACAGAGGUUUGUCUAGCUCAAGCAUGAGUUUCUAAAUGAAUACGUGACAUGGUUGAAUUAUAGAGCUUAAACAUUAAGCAAAUAGUUUGACCUUGACCAUGACCUUUUCAAAAGUCAAUAUUAGUCAAAUUUAUUACAUAAUCAACGGCUACUUUGAUUUUCUUCCUCUCGCAGCAAGGUGGUCCCUUCGUACUCGGUGCUCGCUCCCUCCUCGCCUGCCAAAUACCUCCCAAUCUCAAGGCUGGUGCCAAACUCGUUGCAGGAGAACGCAAUAACAGCUUUCCAUGCUAGGCAGGAGCGUUCACUUCCACUGGCCACGCCUUCUGAAGAUCAAUCCUAGCCAAGCCUCGCCAUAACUCAUAUUGCAGUGGAGUAGAAGAUGGAGGGUGUUUCUGUCCUGCGUCUAUACAAAUACAUCAUUGUUUUCAUGCUAGUCAAUCCUCCAGCUUUUCCGUUUCUGAACCAAGCCUUUAUUCAGCUCGACAGUGCUUGGGGUACUUGCUGUCGAUGCGAUCUCUAUAUUUGAAUUGUUUCCUUCCUUCCAGGCUUGCUAGGAACCACCGGAAUCUUUUGCUACUACCUCGUCAUGUCUGUCAUAUCUGGAGAGAUGCAUCUGGGAAUGAGGCUUCUGUUUCUUUCCAUUCAUCCAAUGAAGUAUAUUUUGCUUGAUCCCAGAUUCGCUGGAACUGCAUUGCCAUCGCGUCGAAGUACUCCUCCCCGGCCACCAAGGAACCAAGCAAGUGGAAAACCGCCCAGCCUCAUUCGUGACAUCGAAGAACUCAUCCAUGUAGGAAGGAGGGGGGACACGACGUCGAGACGUCGAAGUCGGAUAGGAAAGCUUUCACGUCGUCGUCGGGCCCAGACAAUAUACAGCGAGCAGGCUUUCAGGAUCUCCUCGGUGCCUGGAAGAGAUAUCAAUGCUCAUUCUGAUCAAGAAGAAAUCACGAGGGGCUGCUGGCUGCUGGCUGGAUGGCCGUCCCCGUCAGCAGGGCAACAAGGCGGGAGGGCUUGUACGGAAGAUGUUCCCUCCACCAAGAGGAGACAAGAUCAAGCUUGUCUGCCCUUUCCUCAACGUAGGGCGGAAGGGGAGAGGCCAAAUUAUAGACAAAGACAAGCUGCAACGAGAAAAAUAAAAGAAGAAGUGAAUAUCUUUGUCAAGCCUUCGGAGUCUAUUUCUUACAUGAGAAUGCCAAAAACAAGCUUGUCUAAGUAGAAAAGAACUGUAAGAGCCCAGGAUGUGUCUUCCUGAGAAAAACUCCAGCAAUGAAAUAACAUAAAUGGGAAACUAGAGAUACCUUCUCUCCCUGCAUUCAGAGCUUGAACAUCAUCUUCCAAAAAGACAAGCUCCUGAAUCGAGCUACACAUAUGCAUUUGUCAACACGAUCAUGUCCACCACUUUUGUUUUGCUUUCUUUUUUUUCUGUGCGCAGUGGAGCUGACCUGCUGGACUUUCUUCACAUUUUUCUGAAGCUUUCGUCCUUUCUUCCCACCUCUUUCUUCGCGUUAGAGACCCAAAGUCACCAUUUUUAGCUCGUUGGAGCGCUUGGCUAAGUCAGUCGCCUCCUGCAAAGCCAUCACCUUGAAGAGAUUAGUUGCAAGAAACGUAAAAGGAAUUGAAGCACAUACCUUUACGUAUUGAGCACGAGUAAUAACACACUUGGGGCCUAUUCUUGAACGCAAAUAUGAGGUUCAGUGGUAAUGUUGCGAUUCCAACACCUCCAAACAUCUGCAGGAAGGAAAUCACAUGUUCUAGAAAACAAAACAUAAAACGACAUUACCGUGAUCCUAUUAUUGUGUUUAAUGCCUGUCGUUCCUAGCAAGGUACUCACUUUAUACAGUUGCGAAACUAUCCGGAGCUCACUUCCAACUUCACGCAGGUACAAAAGCUUUAAGGCAGCGCUGCAAAACAUCAGAGAUCUGCGUUGUAGGGAGGCUUCCUACACCCGAACGGAUUGGUAACCUGGAGAAGAGAAGUCACCGCUGCUCUGCCAAGUGCAGCGAGGUUUUCGUAAAACCCCGGCUUGCAGCUUCUAAAAUCUGGAACCUUUCCACGUAAAUUCUGGCUGUCCUUGCUCCAAGAAUCGGUAUGGAGCUGUUCUCACAUCUCGUUUACACUCUAAACUUCCGAUCGAUCAGGUGGAGCUGCUGGAAUGGCCGGAGCAAGUGCUGGUUAGCGAGUCCGAAACAAACACUCUACUCUGCUGCCUCCAGGAACUCUUCCUCGCCAGGGACCGCCUAGAGAACGACAUCCUAGGCACCGCAGAGCCUGGCGCUGUGGAUCGCCUGAGAUUGGCGCUGGCAUCCAACUUGGGCCGUGCCAUCUUGCAAAGCUGAUCGUUUCUACGAAGGUAGGAUUUCUUCUUGAACUGUACAAUUCAGAAGCGUGAGUCUAAUUAAGCAAGUAGUUUGACCGUAGAACUUCGCUAAAAGUCAACUUUUAGUCAACAGAGUCUUCAGUUAUUGGAAGUGUUAGCUUUUCAUUGAUUUUCAUACUUGAACUCAGCAAUUAAUCUAUACAUAUAUACGGCUACAUUGAUUUGUUAGUCACCCUCAAAACCCAGCACUAAUGUCGGGUUUUUAAAGCUUAAGCUGUUUUUUAAGUUGAAUAAUUUAUCAUGCCUUAAAAGCAUAUGAAACAAUUGUCUGCAUGGCAGCAUUGGGUCAAAAGCUAAACUACUGCACCAAAGGAGGUUUGGUGUUUUCUACUAUGUUAGGCAUUAAGUCAGGAUAAUAGAAUAAAGAAAUGGCAUUACACACCCCUUUACUCAGUUGGGUUUAAGGUAGGAUUGUAACAUUAAUAUUGGAGCUUAAUUCAAUUUUUUAUGGCUAACAAGUGGGGCUCUGAAAUAAUAUUUAACAUGGUGGAUCUAAAGGAAGAAGCAAAGUCUAAUAGAUCCUAAAAAAAGGUGACAGGAGGGUGAUUCUUCUUCUAGUGUACACUUCUGAAAGUGAAUUGCAAUGGCAACCAUGGCGACAAUGCAGGGAGCCUUUGGUUCAUUGAAGGAGAUUGGUGACAUUGUGGCGAAUUUUGAUUUCAGCAAGGUAAAGUGGAACCUGUCUUGCCCAAAGCAGUGCUUAACUCCUUGUGGAAUGCUCCAGAGUGAUGUGCGUUCCAAGAGUUCUGAGGAUUACCUCCACACCAACCUGGCACCAUCGUUUGGGGCAUUGAAUGCAGAAACAGUGAAGAAGAUGGAUGAGGUUCUCAAGGUUUGCAUCUCGGGAACCACCACUCUUCUCGCCAAAGUGCCACCAGAAGAGCGAACUUGGGAGAAGGUCAACUCCAUGUUCAUGCAAAAUCCCUUGGUUGAGCCAAUGGGCGAUGGGGUUAACAGAGCUGACAAGUUUCUCAACAAACUCACAAAGGAUCACAUUUUUUAUGGAGUUAUUGUGAAAGCAGUAAUAGAAGUUAUAUAUUAUAGAAGAGCUCUAUUAACCUUUGCUGCCUUCUCUCGUCACAGCUUCAGACCUGGUUUGUGAAUCUGAUUGCAGAUGAGGACGUCCUGAAAUCAACCAAGAUCGACAUAAGUUCUUUGGGAAAUUCUUGCUCAGUCUGCCAAGCAUGAGCACCACGAGAAGACCAUAGUUGACAUCGUGGUCUUAAGGUACCCUAAUAUGCAAAACGUACUUCAAGGUUUGUGCCCAGGCUGCCCUUUGUAUUUCAGUCACAGCUCAUGCUUAUGAGUACAGGUGUACCGCAUCAAACUCUUUGCUUGGUCUGAUAGCAACCGUAUUCUGUUCCAUCAGGAGGAUUCCAAUGGCAUCACUGGAGGUGAGGUGUCUAAUGUAAACCACUGAAAACUGCACGGUCCUUUUGUUCUAUUUGCAGAGUUCACCUUCCGUAAGUUUAAGCCACGCAAGGAGGUCAUUGACAAGAUGAACCCAG
rnacentral:lncRNA from 1 species